AUCACCUGGGGGGCUUGUUAAAAUGCGGAUUCUGAUUCAGAAGAUCCAGUGGGGCUGAGGUUCUGCAUUUCCAGUGAGCUCCCAGGUGGUGCUGA
rnacentral:pre_miRNA from 1 species